CGAGACCUCAGGUCAGGCGGGGCUACCCGCUGAAUUUAAGCAUAUCAAAAGCGGAGGAAAAU
rnacentral:rRNA from 1 species